rnacentral:sRNA from 1 species
UUUUUGUAGUUUUUGUAGAGACAGGUUUCCGCCAUGUUGCCCAGGCUGGUCUCAAACUCCUGAGCUCAAGCGACCCACCCACCUUGGCCUCCCGAAGUGCUGGGAUCACAGGCGUGAGCCACUGUGCCUAGCUACUUGUUGUUGUUUUUACUCUCUGUCUCCCUUCACUAGAAUGAACCUCCAAGAAGGCAAGGAUUUUGGUCUGUUUUGUUCACUGGUGUGUCCCCAACACCUAAUCUAGUGUCUUGCACAUAGUUGGCACUCAAAAAUAUUUGCUGGAUGAGUGGAGAGUGAAGGGAUGUAGCCUCUGCCUUACUCCUGCCACCUCACUCGGGGUCUUCUUUUCCUGCUCAAACAGGCACAGUUCUGCAUAAGCAGAUGUCCACCAGGAAAUGGGGCACCUGUCUUUUCUCCUAGUAUCCUUGUAUCUAUGGAAGAUUCUCUUAGAAGCCCCCUCACUUGGCUUAGGGUGGGCAGUAAUUUCUGCCCCUCUCUUGGGAAAGGAAGAAGAAAAGCCGUAGUGCUGACACAGGGCUGCUGAGGCCCCGCUCUGAAGAUCCUCUGGAAUUCCUCCAGUGUUCACUUAGAGAGAUCGGGGUCACGUCUUUUGUGACUGUUACAUUGCAGGGGUUAGGGAUGUGUCUGGUGGCUGUCCUUAGAAUGUGGAGGUACUUAGCACCUCUCAUCCUUGCUUCAAGAGUUCAACCACAAUUUAGAGACCAUAGGAAAAGAACUGUUCUGCAUCCUGUUAUGUGUUUAAAGAUAAGUGAAGUCAAAGUGUUUGUAAGACCUUCAGAUUCAGAGGGGUGAGAUGUUUCUUCAUUACUUUGUGAUGCUAUUAACAUUUAGAUUCUUUUAAAUUUUUACUAUCCCCAUUUUCAGCUAGUUUAUUGGGAUUUCCCAGAUUCAAACAGAUGGACUCAUAAAUAAACCUCCCAAAAAACAAAAGCUAAUAACUUGCAUAGUGCCUGCCAUUCUCCAAGCACUGUUGUAAGCCUUUUACCAUAUUACCCUAUUUAAUCCUCUCAACCAUCCUUGGAGGAGCUACUGUUACCAUCCCAACUUCACAGAUGAGGAAACUGAGGUACAGAGAGAUUAUGUGACUUGCCUAAGGUCAUGUAGCCAGUAAGAGGCAUAGCUGGGGUUUGAACCCAAGCAGUGCAGCUUCUAUGCUCUUACCAGUAAGCUAUACAGCAGCAUUGAGAAGUGGAUUGGUCCCAAAGAAUAGUAAGUACACCUCUGUCCAGAUACACCCAUUGUUUCUAACAGAUAUCAGCAAGCAAUAAUGCUCCCCUGUCUGGUUCCUCUGUGUCUCCACUGCUAACACUCUCUCUCUGCUCUCUCAUCCCGUCAGGUGUUGUUGAAGUGUACAGGGUAACCAAGCGUGUGGAGCUGGGGAUAAAAGCCACUGCAGUGUGCAGUGAGAAACUCCAGCAGUUGCUGAAGGACAUCGAUAAAGUAUGGAAUAACCUAAUCGGCUUCAUGUCACUCGCCACACUCACACCAGAUGAAAACUCGCUGGAUUUUUCCUCCUGUAUGUUACGGCCUGGGAUUAAAAAUGCUCAGGAGCUUGCCUGUGGAGUGUGCCUCUUGAAUGUGGACUCGAGGAGCCGGGCAUUCAACUCAGAAACAGACAGUUUCAAGCUGGCCUAUGGAGGGCACCAGUAUCACGCCAG